rnacentral:rRNA from 1 species
UGGGGAAUUUUGGACAAUGGGCGAAAGCCUGAUCCAGCAAUGCCGCGUGCGUGAAGAAGGCCUUCGGGUUGUAAAGCACUUUUUGUCCGGAAAGAAAUCCUUGGCUCUAAUACAGUCGGGGGAUGACGGUACCGGAAGAAUAAGCACCGGCUAACUACGUGCCAGCAGCCGCGGUAAUACGUAGGGUGCAAGCGUUAAUCGGAAUUACUGGGCGUAAAGCGUGCGCAGGCGGUUUGCUAAGACCGAUGUGAAAUCCCCGGGCUCAACCUGGGAACUGCAUUGGUGACUGGCAGGCUAGAGUAUGGCAGAGGGGGGUAGAAUUCCACGUGUAGCAGUGAAAUGCGUAGAGAUGUGGAGGAAUACCGAUGGCGAAGGCAGCCCCCUGGGCCAAUACUGACGCUCAUGCACGAAAGCGUGGGGAGCAAACAGGAUUAGAUACCCUGGUAGUCCACGCCCUAAACGAUGUCAACUAGUUGUUGGGGAUUCAUUUCCUUAGUAACGUAGCUAACGCGUGAAGUUGACCGCCUGGGGAGUACGGUCGCAAGAUUAAAACUCAAAUGAAUUGACGGGGUCAUAGCUGUUUCCU